rnacentral:rRNA from 1 species
AGCCGCCGGUACGUAACUGAGGGGAGGGCUAGCGUUGUUCGGAAUUACUGGGCGUAAAGCGCACGUAGGCGGAUGUGUCAGUCAGGGGUGAAAUCCCGGGGCUCAACCUCGGAACUGCCUUUGAUACAGCACGUCUCGAGUCCGGAAGAGGUGGGUGGAAUUCCUAGUGUAGAGGUGAAAUUCGUAGAUAUUAGGAAGAACACCAGUGGCGAAGGCGGCUCACUGGCCCGGUACUGACGCUGAGGUGCGAAAGCGUGGGGGAGCAAACAGG